CCGGUGCCGGUUCACCUCCGGUUGACGCCGCGAGGACCCGGUGCC
rfam:Actinopolyspora erythraea strain YIM90600 genomic scaffold Scaffold6, whole genome shotgun sequence.